ensembl:lncRNA
GGAACGUUUUCUUUUUCUUCAGACUGUCAGGAGUUUCAAAACGAAUGCGCGACAGAACGCUGCCAAUAUUCACGUGACUCAAAGCUUGCGCCUGCAUGGUCAAAUCUCUGAAAAGUUGGAAUUAUGGCAGGAAACUGGCUCCAUAGCAUUGCGCUCUCGAAAUGCAUUUUGGGUCCGUCCGUUCAGACCUGUCCAUGGUUCAGAGUCGCACUCGCGACGCUCAUCCGUCGAAGGACGCAUGGUGUGUGGAACAAGCGUACAUAGGCCUACCUGAUCGCGUUCAUUUGUUCGCCUCCCUCCACCUCCCUCUCUCUCCGGUGCAUAUUUAAGCCACUUCUUCAGUGUCCCUGAAAAAACAAUAUGGGUGGUCCCUGGCAGCUGUUUUUGUAGUGCAGCUGAAAGAAAGAAACAAACAAACAAACCCGGUCAAGAAUUACCAACAUGGCGACGAGGCAGCUUGAUGGACGAAGCGGCAGCUUCUGGUGCUACCGGCCUCACCAUCUCUCUCCUAAGCGCCCUCACUUCACUCCCCAGAUUGUCGUGCUGUUUUUCUUGGGGGGGGUGGUGCCUCGUCAUCAGUGUCCACACCUUGAAGCAUAGUAAGUGCCAGUUUAGACAAAAUGGACAAAAUGGGCAGUCAAACAGCCGUUUCUGAAAUAUUUAUAUUUUAAUUUCUAAAAUGUUUUAUUGCUGUUCAGUUUAACUCUAAAGGUCUGCACCUUCAAAAAAGUGUUGCGGCGGGCCCGUAGUGGUCUGGACUCUUCCAGCUGGCUCCUGCAGGUAGCGUGACUUUGGCCUUUGGAACAAAUCAAGGACAGUCAUGGCAGUCAGUGGGUAACACCAGAAAUAUUAACAGAGAACUUAUACAUUUAUGCAUUUAGCAGAUGCUUUGAGCUGAAGCGAUUUACAACAAGAGGACUAACAUUUAAGCUACAACACUAUUUAAAACCUUGCUAAGAGUGCCAAAAAGUGCCACUAGUCACCCGAACACUGUCUGAAGUUUAAGUGCAAUAGAAAGAUGGAAGAGAGUGCAUUGAAAGUUAAAAAGUGUUGGGACAAGAGUCAUUCUAGGAAGAGCUGAGUUUUCAGGAGCUUUUCGAAGGUAGUGAGGGAUGAUAAGUUGCCUGUGGAUGGUUCAGAGAACUACCUGCUAUUAGCAGCCACUUUGUCAGUAAAGAAUGAAGCAUAAGGUUCUGCUGUGAGGUUUGUAGCAAGAGGGGAAUGGUUUAGUAGAUAUUUGAAAGUAGAGAACAGUUUCCGGGUGUCAGUUGUAUUGUGAAUCUCAGUUGUAUUGUGAAUUUUUCGCUGCUGUGACAUUGUAAGCAAAAGAUGAUAAUAGUUACUGGUAUUGUGUUAAAUCUGAUAGGUUAUUAGUUUUAUGCCAUUCUCUCUCAGCAGCCCAUGAGGUUAGAGCGCAUCAAUUGAAGGGAGUCGUUUAUCCAAGGAAGGGGCUUAGAGGGUUGGGAGGGUCUGAUGGAUAGCGGGAAUGUGUGGCCCAAUUCACCUCUGGAGAGGAGAACAUUUUUUGUUUUUUACCUUUUUUUCCUUCUGAUAGGGUCUUCAGCCUCUGACUGUAUGUCUGAUGUUAAACACAGUAAGGACUUUUUCAGCUAACCAAGACCCUCACGUCACCGUGCACGUCCCACGCUGCACCUGGAGGAAGGUGGUGCGCGACUGCCUUCUGGAGGCGGAUAUGAUCAUAAGAACUAGGAGGCCAGAAACAAUUCCAUGACUCCCCUGCCUCCUCCAACCAGCUGCUUGGCACUAUGGUAGUGCUCCUAUCUUUGAAUUCGACGACCUUCCACACCUGUGCCAUCUGUCAAUGAGUUCCGGUUCAAUGCAUUUGUAAUGAGGGGGCGCACUUCUGUGCAGUGUGCGCAAGUCGUCGUUGCCAGCAGGCUGCACCCGACAGCCAAGGGAUUUAUAUGUGGCAUAGCAAGUCUCUGAAGCAGUGUCUCACACUCGAGUCCUGACCGAGGGCCUUGAAACUGGCAUGCCUGUUCAAAACAUCUCCAGGACAACAAGGUUAUUUUGUGUUGACGUGUAUUGAAUUCUUAAGGGCAAAGAAGAUGAAGGAGAAUGCGUGCAGUGGGCUGAAUGGAGAAUUCGUGAAUCAAAGGCAACACCAAGAAAUGCAUUAAUGAAAUUAAGCACUAUCAGGUUGUCAAGACUGUAGCUCAGCGGGUACAUGGUCCUGGAUACCAGAUUUUUUUUUUUUGAAAACUAUUUAUAUAUGGAAUCUGAAUGCACUCCAGGAAAUGCUGCAGUUCUUUGUGCCACAAGAGGCCAAGAAGCUCUACUACAAGACGUUGAGGCAGAAGAUGAAGAUUAUUACAAAUUAUCCAAGUCAGUUCUGACCAAGUAAUUUGAUUGGACAAGAGGCAUUCCAGUGCUGAUAUAGAGUAUAACAGCACUGGGUCUUUUAACUAUACACGUAUCGCUCCGCUUUACGGGUGUUCUCAUAACCGUUAAUGUUAUUAACAAUCUUUUUGUAGCUUAGAUUGCAGCUAACUUUGCACAGCAAAUAUGAACAUGUUUCCAGGAAUAACAUUGGAGUUGAAUUAAGAAUGGUCGCCAGAAGAGGACCAAGGGAACCUAAUGUAAUGCUAAUGUGUUUAUGUGUUGCUUGGCAACAGUUCAGUCCAGUUGCGGAUCUAUUUGUGUUGGCGGAGCCAAAUAAAUCAUUAAUGAACCAAAGAAAUCUGAUCAUAAUAUGUUAAUUAUUAUUGGUGCUUGUAGAACUGUUGUAUAAAAGCAAUAUCACUCAGGAGUGAGUGCUGUUGUACUACGGCUGGGAUUCGGUCGUAGGUAUGAGGCCGUUGGCCGAGUGCCGAAGAGAAUCACAGCCGUAGUACAACAGCACUCCCUCUUGUGUGAUAUUGCUUAAUUAUUCUGUUCCAAAAUUCCAUAAAAAGUCUGAUUACUAAGAAAUAUUGAUGUAUCAUUACUUUUGUCAGUUUCAAGUUUUUGUUUUAACACAGGUCUACCAACAAUGUGUAUGAUGUAUGACUACCUGAAAGCAUUUGUCUAUGACCUCACCCAGCUGCUGAGAGAACCUUCGAGGUAAACCUCUAAAGGUGUGCUCCUUUAUAAGCGAUGCUCCAGCAUGUGAUUUUCUUCAAAACAGUGUGCUAUCCUCUGGUUCAGUCUUUAUCAUCUACAGUUGAUUUAGGUACAAAAAAAGCCCAUUUCACAUAUCCCAUUGAUUAAAUGCACCUCUGCUGUUUGGGUGUAAAUUUUGCCAUCACUAUUUCUUGUUACGGAGAUGAGGACAACUACUUGCCUCUUUCAUGCAUCUCCUUUGUCCACAUCUAUGUUUGGGGAUUGUAAUUUGAAGCCAUUCCUCAAGUGUUUGCUAUGCCUCAUUGUUUAUUAUACUGCACACUUGGGAAAAAAUAUAUAUUUUAUUCAAUGUCUUCCCUUCUACAAUGUGGCAGCAAAAUCAUUACUACAGAUUUUUUUCCCCCACUUUAUUCUGUUUUGGGCAUUUCCUACCAGUGCAAAGAUGUUUAAAUUAGUCACUGAAAGCAGUGUUCUGAAAUAUCAAAAAUAGUUGUAGCCUGUAUAUGUAUGCAUGGCCUUCACAUAUUUUUUGUAAAGCUGUACAUGUCUUUAAAGAUGUUGAUGCGGAUGUUUCCACAUUUACAUUUCUCAGUGCAAAUGGGUUUUUGAAUAAGUUUCUGAAAGUAGUGCUUUGAGAUGUUUGAGAUAACAAACAUUUAAUAUGUUGGAAAUAUUUUUGGUCGCUGUGUCAUAAUUCAGCUCAAUAUUUAAUAUAUUGUUUCUUAUGGCACAUUAACG